GGGCCCGCACAAGCGGUGGAGCAUGUGGCUUAAUUCGAUGCAACGCGAAGAACCUUACCUGGGCUCGAACGCUAUCUGACAGACCCUGAAAGGGGUCCUUCUUCGGACGGAUAGUGAGGUGCUGCAUGGCUGUCGUCAGCUCGUGUCGUGAGAUGUUGGUUAAGUCCCGCAACGAGCGCAACCCCUAUUACUAGUUACCAGCACGUUAUGGUGGGGACUCUAGUGAGACUGCCUGCGCAAGCAGUGAGGAAGGUGGGGACGACGUCAAGUCAUCAUGGCCCUUAUGCCCAGGGCUGCACACGUGCUACAAUGGUCGGUACAAUGGGCUGCCACCUCGCGAGAGGGAG
rnacentral:rRNA from 1 species